UAUAGGUUUCUUGAUUAACAUGAUUUGAUAAGUAAUUUUGAUGAUGAAAGGGGAAAAGUAGCAUGUAUUUUAAUCUUAAAGUAUUGAUGCAUGAUUUUAAAAUAUUUAAGGGGAGCUUACAAUUGUUGUAGAUCAUGUAUUCAGGGAGAGUUUACAUUUGAUUUAUAUGUUGAAUCAUGUAUGCCUUAUAUUAAAGGAGAGUAUAAAUAUCAAAAUACAUGAGAUGUUUGUCAUCAUUAAUAAGGGGGAGAUUGUUAGCCUAACAAGGUAUAUAAGUUGUAAUUUUGAUGAUAACAAAUACGUGUCUUAAGUAAUUUGUUUCUUGAAGGAAAAAAUUUAUUCAAGUGAAAUCAAGCUCAAAACACUCAAUGAACAAUGGCUCGAUCAAGAACAAGUAUUAGCUCAAUGAAAUUAUUAUUGCGACAAUUCUUGUAAAACUGGUAUGAUUUAAUAUAUGCGUGGUUUAGCAUUUGAGAAGCUUAAGUAUUUAUUUUAUAAGUAAUCAUUUUUUUCAUAAACCAAAAGCUUUAUAAUCAUAAGACAAGUAUUUUAUAGAUUUGGGUAUUUUUCAAGUUUUGGACUAAAUUGAAAAGGUUUUGAAAACUUUGAGUAUUAUGUUAACAAUUCUGAAAACUUUGAGUAUUAUGUUAAAAAUUCUGAAAUGAACCUUUUUGAAAAGUUUUAUAAAAGUUUUGGGCCACAACAUAAUUUCAUAGAGCUUUUAGAAAUAACUAGUAUUAUCUUGAAAUCUGAAAAUGGACAUGUUUGCAAAGUUUUAUGAAAAUUUGGACCAUAAUCAAAUUACAUAAAGUUAUAGGUAAAACAAUAAUUUUGAAAAGUAGUGUUACUGUAGAAAAAUUCAAAUUGUAACGAUAACUUGCACUGUACUAAGCUGCGAUCCGGCUAUUUAAUAAGCUAGCUGGCAAAACUUCAAAUGUCAAUAAUGUCUAGUUUUCUUUCAAAUUUAAUAACUUUUGCAAGUAAGAACAAGUGCAUACAACAUAUUUUGAGUUUCCAUUUCAUAAAUCAUCAUAUAGUAAAUCAUUAUUGUGCUACUACUUGUAUAUCGACUCUAAAAGAGAGUAUUUGUUGUGAUCUUUAAUUUCAUUAUUAAACUUGUCAAUGUUCAAGUGUGACAAACACUUGGGUGAAGAGAUUGGGGAAUAAUCUUUUGUUGUAAAGGUUCGUUGAUACCUUGGAAGUCAAUUCUAAAACUCUUGAAACCUUGGGAGACUUGAAUACUGAAAUCCUCAAGCUUGGUUUGCUUUGAGGCAUGAGUGUAGGCGGGGAUUGUCGAACCACGUAAAAAUAUCUGAGUUUGCUCUCUCUUCCCUUACUUUUUUAUUUUUUAGCAUUGUUAAAUUUAUUAUUUUUUAUUCUAUUAAGGCAUUAGAUUAAAUUGUUGUAUGGUUUGUUUAGUCUAAGUUUUAAAAGCCCAAUUGACCUCCCUCUUAGUUUGCAUAGCUAGUAUUUCAAAAUUAAGGUACAAUAAGUGAAAAAGACUCCAAAGAAGUCUGCAACAAAGACUGCAAGAACGUCUCCUAAAAUAAAAAUAGCCCAAUAAAGUAAAACAGCGGAACCUUAUAUUAUCCAUGUUGGAGUUAAGCCUCCUCCUCCAAUGAAGGUAAAGGUGAUGAAACCAAAUGCCAAUAGAAAGCUGGUAUUGAAGAAGAAUGAACACUAGAUUAGCUACAUAGGAGAGAAAGAACACCGGUCAAACCAUUAAUAUGUUUUUCCUAGUAAUUGAUAGUUUUCCUAAUUAAGAGUUAUUGAUCGAACAUGAUGAAUCAAUUUUUAUUUACGUAUUGAAAACACUGUUGAAUAAGGUUGUUUGUCAAGUGAUCAUUGAUUUUAGUUAUCAGAGAAAUGAGGUGAUUGAGCAAUAGCAAAGUAAGUCAUUAUUUUGAAAUAAUUACUGUUUGAUUUAACCUUUUUAAGUAAGUCACUAUCUUUAGAACAUUAAUAAUAAGUUAUUAGUCUUAGAUGUAUUGUCACAUAGACACUUACAUAAAGUCAUGGAGAAUGAUGGAAAGUCAUUUCCUGUGGGAUUUAGUCAAGUUAUGAUCAGUUCACUCAAUUCAACAGAGGAGGCUAUAACUACAAAGUCUCACUAUCUAUUUGAACUGCUAAAAGCAACUCUAAUUGAACAGUUGAUAUUAAUCCAUACAAGCUAGGGUAAGGACUUCUGUCCUUAUAUUUUCUAUAUAUUAACAUGUAAUAAAUUCAGAAAUUAUAGAAUAAGCAGUUCUUUUAUAUGUUGACAUUAUUAUUUAAUGGUUUUAUUCUUGUUGUUGUAGCAAUCAUUGGGUGUCGGUUGCAAUCGAUAUACUGGCCUUCAUUGUCUAUUAUUUUGAUUUAGUAUUUACACAAAAAGUGAAUUGUCAUUCAAAGCUAAUAGAGCAGUUAAGUUUUUCCAUACUUAUAUUUUAGUAUUUUAUAUAGUUGGAUAAUAAAUUUUAGUAUAUUGAUCUUUAUAUUCACUGCAUGCUUUCAUGUUCAGAGGAGUUAGGAUGUAUCAUGCAACAAAGCAAAAGCCUAAGCUGAACUUGAAGUGGAUGUUAGUCCAAGUAAGGAUAUAAGUGAUAUGUUCAUUUUGUCUAAAUGUGGGUAGUUUGUUAUAAAGUAUAUGUAAGAGAUUGUGCAAAAUCCAAACAUAUUGGAGCAAAAUGUAAGCUUCAAACCUCUGCUUUGUUAGUUAUUUUAAUUAUGAACAUUUCGUUUAACGCAUAAUUUUCUUUCUUAUUUUUUGUAAUUGAAGUUUAAACGACUAAUUGAGUACUUGGAUGAGGAUAUUCUAAAGGUUUGUGAUGAGCAAGCUGCAUAUGUGGCUAACUUGAUCACUAGUUUAAGAAAAUAGUUAACUAUCACUUGUUUGUUCAUGUUUUAUAAUUAAAGAUUCUUGAUGAGUGGACUGCGUAUGAUGUAGUGCUCCGUUUGUUGUUCUUUUAUUACUUUCAAGAAUGUACCUUUGUUGGUUGAUUUUAUUGGAAUUGAUCGUAAGUCUGAUGGCUUCUUAUUGCUGCUGUUACUCAAGACAUUGCAAAUAGCCAUGGUUCUCUUGAUUUUUCUUAAGUUACAUUUGCCUUUUUUUUUUUUUUUGUUGUAGUUCAGGCCGUUCAAGAUAGCAAUGUUGUUGCUGCUUCUUAUUCUAGUUCGUUUGUCUUAUUAAUUAUUACUCAAGUUGUUGUGAUAAACAAGUUGUAGUUUUCUUAGUUUGGAAGUGGUUUUUGCUACUAUUGUGCUAUUGGAACUAUAGUUGAUGAAUUUGGUUGUUGAAAAAGUUUGUUUAUUGAAUGUUGAGUGUUAACUGUUGAAUGAAGCCUAACAACAAUUGUUAAAUAUAGAAUUAUUCGGUUCUGUUUCCAACAUUUGUUCCAUUAUUAUUGUUGACAAUUGUUGUUUAUUGGUUUUAAUUUUAGGCUAUUGGUAAUUGUAACAAUGAAAAUCUAUUAUUUUUAAAAAAAUUCCAAACUAUUGACACCAAUUUAGCAUAUGUUAAUAUUAAUAUUCUUGAAUCACAACAUAAACGAUAUUAGUGCAUCAAAACCCGCUUCAUACUAAAGAAUCACUAUCUGCGUGAUUAUAUAGAAUCACAAUUAUUUUGAUAUUAUUGAAUCACAAUUUGUUUGCCAUUAUAACAUCAAAAUCUAUGUGAUGUUUAACUGUUAGCAUUUCUUUAAUACUAAGGUGUUGCGAAAUUACUGAUACAAAAGAUAUGUGUCAAUAAGUUUCUUGCACCCCAUUUAGUGACACUAAACUCAGUGUCAAUAAAGAAUGUUACGGAUACCAAAAUAGUAUCAGAGAAAGUCAUUUUUUUACUAGUACACAACAUAAAAAUUUACAUGGAGGACUCCUAUACUGGAGAAAAACUACAGCCGCUAAUGAGAGAAAAAUCUACUAUGUAAAAAAUUAUUACAAUCACUGUAAUAUUUUCCUCACACCCAAUCUCUCAAUAGGCUUACCGUUUCUCUCACACUAAAAAUUGUUUACUUGCAAAAAAAAACUAAUUAUUGAGUUAUGCAAAUAAGUGAACCUAACCUACCAAUAUAUAGUGAUUAUUUUUUGUAGAAGUAUUUCUUUUCUUAUACUAGUUGUAUUCCUCCUCGAGUUAAGUCGCAAAGAGGAAAUUACUUAUUUUUUAAAUAGGAGUUUCCUGAAUAAGAAAAAUUAUUAAAUAAGAAAAGCGUAGGAAAUAUCUUAAUUUAGGAUUUACAAAUUCUCAUUAAAAAAGGAGACAUAUUUCCUAACAUAUAUGUAUACAUGGUCCUUACAUCCUUGAUUGUAGAUGUCUUUUCUUGCAUUAUAAAAAUAUCUAUUUUCUCUCCUCUCACUUCUAAUGUUAAAAUGUCUAUUGUGUCUCUUCUCUUGUCAAAUUCUUCUUUUUUCCUUAAAAAUCUUUCUACAGUUUUUGUGAAAUUUUGUAGCAAUUAUUUUUUAUCCGGGAUCUUAAAGUGCGGGAAAAGUCUAAGA
rnacentral:lncRNA from 1 species